AAAACUUUCAACAACGGAUCUCUUGGUUCCGACAUCGAUGAAGAACGCAGCGAAAUGCGAUAAGUAAUGUGAAUUGCAGAAUUCCGUGAAUCAUCGAAUCUUUGAACGCACAUUGCGCCCCCUGGUAUUCCGGGGGGCAUGCCUGUCCGAGCGUCAUUG
rnacentral:rRNA from 1 species